UUUUGGACAGUCCAAUGAAGGGCUUACACAGGUGGGCCUCAGUGUUCUCGUUAGUGAAGGCUGUUGCUUUGUUUGGGAGCAUAAAAUGAUUCCCUGGAUUGUUCUAAAAACUUUGCCAUCGCCUAUUAUAUUUGUUAACACACACACACUCACACACACACAGAGGAGGGGAUUUCCAUCAAGACAAGCAGGAGGCUUUGGCCUGCGUGCUGCUAUCGGCUUAUUUCCACACGUCCGCGGUUAGCGUUCGUUCAAGUCCUGGGGGCGGGGCUACUGAGAGGUCUCUCGAGUCGAGGAGUCUCGAGAGGCCCUUGGACUUAGCCGACAGCUGACUUGCAGAAGGAGCCCCCCCGCCCCAUUUGUUACCUGGUGCGAUGUGACAUCACCUCACGUCUGUGUCAUCAGUCACAUCCGUCGUGCAGACUGCUGCCGACACAUCAUCUGAAGAGUGCCGUACAUUUGUGGGAUAUGAGUGCUGUGAUCGAGCCAGUAUUCCGUUCAUUAACUAACGGCAAAGAAUUGAUUUCUGCUGUGCAGGGUUGCCUUCUCCUCCCCCACUCACUGCUCAAGCUGGAUGCCGCGCAUUACACAGGAAGUACAAGGAGAAGAUUGAGCUUUUCUGUGAGCCCUGUUCCCAGAAUCGGUGUGGAGAUAAUCAGAUUCGGUCACUUGAGUGGCUGUGUCACAGCGCCUGCUUCUCCUUCUACUGAACCAGCCUGAAAUAAGUGUGGAAAUAGGAUCCGAAGCACAUGCUUCUCUUCCUGUUGUGUGUGUGUGUGUGUGUGUGUGUGUGUGUGUGCAUGCGUGUGCCUGACCACAUGUGUGAGGACUAUCCUCCUGAACAGAAAAGGUGGGGUGUUAGGCACACUCAGAAUAGCUCUUUGCUAUGACAUUAACUGACAUGAACUGACUGUUGUUAUUAGUUCUGCUACAUAUUUAGGAGACAGAACUGAAGUGUAUUAAUAGAGCUACUGU